rnacentral:rRNA from 1 species
GGAGAAGGAGGCCCCCUUUUCUCUGGGAUAUCUAAACGGGGAGAAAAGCUAUGGUGGAGGUGCCGGAUUUUUGAAAUACUACAAAAAAAAGGAGUACUGAAUGUUUCCUAACUGAAAGUUGCGGCGCCAUAGGAUGAAUCUGCGGCCGAUUAAGUAGUUGUUGGGGUAACGGCCCAACAAGCCCGAAACCGGUACGGGUUGUGGGAGCAAGAGCCCGGAUAUGGAAUCUGAAACACGAUUCAAGGGCAACGGGGGAAAGAGGGAGCGAAAAAUUACAAGGAAGAAAUUGUCUAUUAGGGAAGCGGAAGGUCCGUAACUCCCCUGCUGGUGCUCAACCCCUCGAAAAAGGGCUGUGAGGAGAGUUGUUUUUUUUUUUAUAAAACAUUAGUUUAGUGGUGACAUUUUUUUGGUCUAAAGCAUUUGUAAUUUAUUUUAAUUCUGGA